CACGGGGGGAGCAAGCGUUGUUCGGAAUCACUGGGCGUAAAGGGCGUGUAGGCGGUCAAGUAAGUGGGAUGUGAAAGCCCUCGGCUCACCCGAGGAUCUGCAUCUCAAACUGCUUGGCUUGAGUAUGGGAGAGGAUGAGGGAAUUCCUGGUGUAGCGGUGAAAUGCGUAGAUAUCAGGAGGAACACCGGUGGCGAAGGCGCUCAUCUGGCCCAAUACUGACGCUGAGGCGCGAAAGCUAGGGGAGCAAACGGG
rnacentral:rRNA from 1 species